CGUUUUCGUACAUUCAGUGUUCGUCUAGUAUUCCACACAGCCGGUUGCUUAUAAACAAGCGAAAAGUACCGUAGUAAAGAUAACAACAAAAGUCAUAAGCUCGUAUAUCAAUGCGUUUUCGGCCUUUAUCAUUUUUGUUGUUAUUGUUCUUCUAAAUAACUCAGGUAAUUGUUGUUGCAUAUUAGCAUCGGUCUAUAGUGGAGCGCUUUACGUUUUGUAUGUACAUAUUUACAACUACACAAUUAUAUUGACUGCGAAUAAUUGGGAUCAACAAACAAGUCAAUAAAAACUGCACAAAACGGAGAUCAACAAACUGCAUACUUGGCCGGACAUUAAAAUACAUACAUAUACAUUUGUAUACAAUUAAACAACGAGCAGAGUCAUGAAUUCAAUAAUAAGAUUUGUAAGUUCUGCAAAAAAUCCUGCUGCUAUAAUAAAAACGUCAUAUUAUACCGGAUUAAAUGCCUGUUUAAAUUAUACGAGCAUCGCAACAGGUGUUGUUGAGCCAAAGCGUCAGCCGUUAGACGAAACACCGGUGGGUGCGAAAACAAACACAGCACGCGCUGCUACUCCAAGCCACGUACAACGAGAAGCCAAAUCGGUUAAGCCGAUAAGCAUUCAACCAUUGACAGACACAUUUGGACGGCACCACACAUAUCUGCGGAUCUCAUUGACCGAGCGUUGUAAUUUGCGUUGCCAAUACUGCAUGCCAGCGGAAGGUGUACAACUACAGCCAAAAUCGAAUCUUCUAACCACUGAUGAAAUACUUUACUUGGCUCGAAUAUUUGUUGAGCAGGGAGUUCGUAAAAUUCGUUUAACUGGUGGUGAACCUACGGUACGCCGAGAUAUAGUUGACAUCAUUGCCAAAAUAAAAUCUAUACCUAGACUUGAAAAUGUGGGUAUAACGACUAAUGGACUUGUAUUAACACGUCUAUUAUUACCAAUGCAACGCGCUGGACUCGACGCAGUAAACAUCAGUUUGGACACAUUGCGCCCCAAACGUUUCGAAGAAAUCACUCGGCGAAAAGGGUGGGAACGGGUUAUAGCAGGGAUUGACUUAGCCAUACAAUUGGGCUUUAAACCGAAAUUGAAUUGUGUACUAAUGCGCAAUUUCAACGAUGAUGAGAUUUGUGACUUUGUUGAAUUCACCAAAGAUCGGGCAGUGGAUGUUCGAUUUAUAGAGUAUAUGCCGUUCACCGGUAAUAAAUGGCAAACCGAUAGAUUGGUCUCCUAUAAAGAAACAUUGCAGAUUAUACAGAAGAGAUGGUCGAAUUUUCAACCUUUACCAAAUGGGCCAAACGAUACUUCAAAAGCUUACGGCGUGCCCGGUUUCGAAGGACAAGUGGGUUUCAUUACCUCGAUGACUGAACAUUUCUGUGGUACCUGCAAUCGCUUACGCCUUACUGCUGACGGUAAUAUUAAAGUUUGCCUUUUUGGAAACAAAGAAUUUUCGCUACGAGAUGCUAUACGUGGCAAUUGUUCUGAAAAGGAUCUGAUUGCUCUAAUCGGAGCAGCCGUUAGCCGAAAGAAAAAACAACAUGCCGGCAUGUUGAAUUUGUCACAAAUGGAAAAUCGUCCAAUGAUUCUAAUCGGUGGAUAGUUUUAUACCAUAUUAAUAAUGUGCGCUCUCUCAUACCAACGACCAAUGGCUUAAAUAUACCAGUAAGGAAAUCGCUUACAUCAUGAUAUUGGCGAAGCACGAAUAUAU
rnacentral:misc_RNA from 1 species